rnacentral:ncRNA from 1 species
GCAUUGUAUGAAAGAAGAGAAAGUUAGCACUCCCCUUGACAAGGAUGGAAGAGGCCCUCAGGCCUGACAACAAGCAUACAGUUAAAGCAUUGCCACCUAAUUCGUGGCAUCUAAGCACUGUUUUUG